CAUUCAUUAUGCUCUCCGCUUCUCUCCUUCUAUUGACAACCUUGGGAAGAAUAUUGCUCCGAGUAUGAUGUAGGUGGUAAUUUACUUUUGAGAGGCCUCCUACGGGGAUAUUCCUGUUAAAUUAGGUUCUGAGAAUACAUAACAGUGAGACCGCAGAAGCUGAUGGAUCGGCUGAGAUCCCAUGGAGGAAGAUACAUUGCUCUUCAUCUGAGAUAUGAGAAAGACAUGUUAUCUUUCACUGGCUGUACUCAUGGUCUUACUGAUGCAGAAUCUGAAGAGCUAAGAAUAAUGAGGCUAUAUGUUGACAAGUGGCAAAACUUCCUGCCUCUGCAUUGGAUGUAAUGUACCUCCACUAGAAGAUGAAGAAGAUAAAUUCAACAGAACAGAGAAAAGGAGGCUUUUGUCCAUUAACCCCCUGAAGAGGUGGGAAUAUUUCUUCAAGCUCUCGGUUACCCUCCAUCAACAUUGAUUUAUAUUGCUGCUAGGGAUAGUUUGUGAUGUUCUAGGCUAAAUUCAAUGAUGACACCUACUUUCCUAUUUUCAUUGAGUAUUGCUGCCUGAAUUCUGAAAAAAUCCACUGAAGUAACAUUUGAUUUUAAUUGAUGUAUUUAAAGUCUGAACAUGAAUUGUUUCUAUUCUUGAGUGUGCAAUGUAUUGUUUCUUAUUUUUAAUUUUG